rnacentral:pre_miRNA from 1 species
CUGCUACUCCCUCCGUCUCAAAAUUCUUGUCUUAGAUUUGUCUAAAUACGAAUGUAUCAAGUCAUGUUUUAGUAUUAGGUACAUCUGUAUCUAGACAAUUCUAAGACAAGAAUUUUAGGACGGAGGGAGUAUUAU